GGACACAGCAAUGAAGUAUCAUAUUCAGAGAACACUGAAUCACCGAGUGCCUUGACCUUGACCUUCAAAGCAUCCAGGACUCUCCAUGACCUUUAGGAUAGACUAACAAAAGCAGUCAUUUAUAAAAUCCCCAAGCUUCAACAAACAUUUUAUACAUGUUAACACAUUGGAUCACAGUCUUUGAAGUAGGUGUCAGAUGAUAAACAUGGUACACACAGCCUACCCUUCUCUACCACUAAACACCGGGACAAUCUGAUCUCCAGCAAACAACUGAUCCUAAGAAGCUACAUUGAAACAGAAAUGGGAUGACUCACUCACAAACAAGGAGAAUUCUGGGAAGAGGAAGGCUGAGUCAGAAGUUACCAGCCAGACACAAAAGAAGCAAGAUGACAAGACAGAACUGGGAAAAGGUGAGUCACAAACAAGAAGAGAUAAACAACCUUACAUGACUUCCUAAAAAAAAAAAAUCACUGUCCAAACUUGGGUCUGAAUGGGAGACAAAAGAGAACAUAAAGCUAUGCAGAGGAGCUAUGCAUUCAACAAGGAGAUGAUGGUGCGUUCAGAGACCCACAAGCAGUCUGGAGAGGUGGCAGCAUUUGCAGGAAAGAGAUGUUGAGGCAGCAAACAGCUGGAGAUGAUGGAGAAGAAGGCAUGCCCAACCCUUGGCCAGUGAUCAACACAAACCGUAAACUUACUUCAAAUGGAAGUACUUAAGCAUGCACAGUUCUCAAGCGUGAGGUUUGUGGAUGACAUCAUUGUGUCACUAUGUCAAAGGUGGGACACGUUUGCAUGACAAUGGACCUGAAAAGAUUAUAAAUUAAUGUUAGGAUUUGAGCACUGUUUGACAAGAUAUAGCAAGGUAUUCACCAGAGGGGAUCCAGAGUGUUAAUGACCAGAGGAUAAUCUUGAGUUUAUAAGAGUCUCUAAGAAGGCCAAAGGUCAAGCUAGAAUAGUCAAGUUAAUAAAAUGGGCACACAUAGGUCCACGGGACUGGUAUGUAUGCUGGGCAGACUGGAGGAGCUAGAAGUGUAGUCUGGAGGAUUCUGGGUAGGUGGAAUCUGAAGAGUUGGGGUCAUUGGAGUUUUUACCACUGUUAAUAAUAUGGUCCGUAGUGGGUUGGAAGAUUAUCAAAAAGCCUUGGAAGGGUAAGGGUUGUCUUCUCCAUACUUCCUAUACCACCGAUCACGUCUCUUAUGACCUGAUCCUACUUCUAGUUUAAAUAUCCUAUCUACCUUCUGCAGUGAGGUCAAGAUGACUCUUCUCAGUGUUUUUGCUGAAAAUUCCCCCACUUUUUUUUUCUUUAAAGCUUAAUGAUCAGUUGUUGUCUCCCAAGUUAACUCUUAAUUUCUUUCAAAAGACAAACAAGGCCAAGUAAGUGUAACUUAAAAACACUUUAGACAACAAAAUUGACUCUAUCGAUAUGGUAGAACCAAUCAGAAGCAGCAGAGAACCAAGUGAAGUCUGAAAAACUUGGGGAAAUACUGUGCCUUCUUUCAAGCCGGUUCCAAAGCCUAGCGUGCGACUAACGGGUGAGCAAGAGAGCCAUGCACGUGCUUCUGCAAGACCCAGAUGAGUGGCUAACACUGUCAGACCACAGAUUUCCAGGAGGAAUGAUUAAUCAAGAGAGAUUUCAGUCCCGAGCUCCUGUCCUGUGUGUCUGGUACACACUCAUUUUCAAAAAAAAAAAAA